GUGGAUGAAGAAAGGGUAGGUAGCUGAGCGGUGAUGAUCUAAUCGGCCCCUGACA
rnacentral:ncRNA from 16 species